ensembl:misc_RNA
UUUGGGGGACGAUGUUUACCGACUCUUCUUCUCUGCCUCGGCCCUGCUUUUGGCUGGGGCUUUGAGCCUCUUCUGUUUUCCAGCCAGACCCGGAAAAAACGAAAACACAGUUUGGGGAGCCCCCACUAGCCGGCGCCUGUGCCAGCUCCUCUCUAGCCAUGGCGCAGCUGCGGGUGCACACAGCGGCCAAGGCCAGCGCCACAUUCUUCCCUCCCCCUCCCACUUCACCGAAACCCCGAACCCUGCGCGCAGAGGAAGGGCCUCAGCUCCACUGACUGCCAAAGUCGACUGGGUCCCUCCUCGCCAAAAAUGGUGAGAUGAGAUUUCGUCUUGUCCGCUGAGGAGCCACAAGCAG